CUGUAAGCUCCGCCCAAAAUCCAGAGUCUUUUCUCUUGUCGCUCGGGGAAGAUAGCUGAAGAACAGAGCUUGCAUUGUCUCUCUCUCUCUCUCUCUCUCUCUCUCUCCCCCCCUCUCGUCUAUUUCACGGCGAAAGAAAGAGAGGAGUGCUUGGUCAAUUCCCACUUUAAAAGAUGGCCUGCAUUGUCCAAGUUAGAAUCUAAGAAGGAACACCUUUUCCCUUACUCUUUACUUGUCGAGAAGUCUGUAGAUCAAUCCAAAGUCUAGAGCUCCGCAAGUGUUGAUCGAUCGGAUCUCCAUGGUAGACGAGCAGCGGGCAGGAUCAUCUUAGAUUUUUCUUUCCUUGUCUUGCUGUUCUUGGCGAGGAUUGAUGGGAUUCCUUGAAUGCAGGA
rnacentral:lncRNA from 1 species